rnacentral:rRNA from 1 species
UACGAAGGGGGCGAGCGUUGUUCGGAUUUACUGGGCGUAAAGGGCGCGUAGGCGGCCUCUGCAAGUCAGUUGUGAAAUCUCCGGGCUUAACUCGGAAAGGUCAACUGAUACUGCAGGGCUAGAGUGCGGAAGGGGCAACUGGAAUUCUCGGUGUAGCGGUGAAAUGCGUAGAUAUCGAGAGGAACACCUGCGGCGAAGGCGGGUUGCUGGGCCGACACUGACGCUGAAGCGCGAAAGCCAGGGGAGCGAACGGG